rnacentral:rRNA from 1 species
GACGAACGCUGGCGGCGUGCUUAACACAUGCAAGUCGAACGGAAAGGCCCCUUUGGGGGUACUCGAGUGGCGAACGGGCGAGUAACACGUGAGUAACCUGCCCUUGACUUCGGGAUAACUUCAGGAAACUGGGGCUAAUAACGGAUAGGAAUCCUUGCUGCAUGGUGGGGGUUGGAAAGAUUGGGCGGUUUGGGAUGGACUCGCGGCUUAUUAGCUUGUUGGUGGGGUAGUGGCUUACAAAGGCUUUGCGGGGUAGCUGGCCUGAGAGGGAGACCGGCCAAAUGGGGCUUGAGAUCCGGCCAAGCUCCUUCCGGGAGGAACCGUGGGGGAAUUUUCACCAAUGGCGGGAACCUUAAUCAACAACGCCGCGUGCGGGGUGGCGGCCUUCCGGUUGUAAACCCCUUUCCGCAUGUGCGGAGCUUGUAGUGACGGUACCUGCAGAAGAAGCACCGGCUAACUACGUG